rnacentral:lncRNA from 1 species
GCCAAGACACCAGAGAGUUCUUUCAGUCUUGAUCAGGACAGGAUUGUACUGCUAAGCCAAGUAAGCAAGGUUGGGACACAUCACUACUGCAAAUAUGACACUCUCUGUACCUGUAAAAGCCACCUCAUAGGGACUAUAAACUGGUACAGCCUCUUGAAAGUAUUCAUCAAAGUAAAAAAAUAGACACCUCUCCUUUGUUAUGGUUUGAAUGUUUGUGUCUGUCCAAAAUCCAUGUUGGAAUCUAAGACCCAGUGUGAUAGUAUUAAGGGGUGGAGCAUUUUGGAGGUGAAUAGGCCAUGGGGGCCCUGACCUUGUGAAUGAAAUUAGUGCCCCUAUAAAAGAGGCUUCAGAGAGCUGCCUGGCCCUUCUAUCUCUUUUGCUGUCUGAUGACAUAGAGUUUACCCCUUCCACCAUGUGAGAACAUAGCAAGAAGGUGCCAUCUUGGAAGCAGAGAGCAGCCCUCACCAGACACCAAGUCUCACCUGCCAGUGCCUUGAUCUAGGACUUCCCAGCCUCCAGAACUGCUGGAGUGCAGUGAUGUAAUCAUAGUUCACCGU